CAUCCUGGGGCUGUAGUAGGUCCCAAGGGUUGGGCUGUUCGCCCAUUAAAGUGGUACGCGAGCUGGGUUCAGAACGUCGUGAGACAGUUCGGUCCCUAUCCGUCGCAGGCGUAGGAAAUUUGAGAAGACCUGGCCUUAGUACGAGAGGACCGGGAUGGACGUACCUCUGGUGUACCAGUUGUCCUGCCAAGGGCAUGGCUGGGUAGCUAUGUACGGAAUGGAUAAGCGCUGAAAGCAUCUAAGCGCGAAGCCAACUUCAA
rnacentral:rRNA from 1 species